AUUCUCAUGACCGCCCUGGGGCCCUCUGCACCACAGGGUUUGUAGACAAGGAGACAGAGGCCCAGAGAGCAGCCAGGACACCUGACCAGCAGGACCAGGUUUCCAGCGAUUCUUGCUCAGGUGACUUCAGAGUGAGCUGGGGCCCCGGGCUGGGGAUCUAGAUGCCUCCUGGCCCCGCAGUGGGGGGCGAUGCCGGGCUCCUGCCAUCUCUCAGUGCUCAGAGGGCAGCGUUAGCACCAGGAUGUGUGCUGGUAGCUGGUCCUAUGGGCCCAGGGCCUUGCUAAGGUGGGGGGACCCCAUGAUGAAUACAGAGCCUGCCUCCCACCUGCCCCAGCCCCUCAACCUCAGAGAGAAGGCCUGGCGGACCAGCCUAAAACUGCCCUGCAUUUCAGAACUGUCAGUGUUACUGAGAAUGAGCCUAACCCCGGUCGGCACCAGGCGUUUUCUUGAACAAAGGCUAUUCUUUUACGACAAGGAGUCCCAUGAGCUUCCUAAAUGCCAGAGCCUAAAGCAGGGCCCUGGGCUGUCUCACUUGGCGCCACCUGCAGCAUCCGCCCUCUGUGAGUCACGUGACUAGCACCUCACUGCUGGUUCAAAAUCUGCCUCUCCCACUGCAGCCUCAAGGACUAACUUCUGUGUCCACUUUAAAGUGCAAAUGUGCCAUCUGCCUCCACUCUCUCAGAGCCCCAGGCGGUUUCUCACCUCUGGACCAGGAACAACAGAACGAGUGGGUCACAGAACACCCUCCAGCUGCCAUCCUGCCUGUCUGUUGGAUCACCUGCUCGGGGAGAAACCCCCUGCCACAUCGUGAGGGCACUCAAGCAGCUUCACGGAGGUCCACCUGACAGGGAACUGGGGCCUCCCGCAAGCUCGGAAGUGGGUCUUCCAGGCCUAGCCAGCCUCCAGAGGACUUCAGUCCUGAGCGACAUUUUGAGGGCGGUCUCCCAAGAGCCUGAGCCAGAACCACCCGCUUGCAUCACCGCCACAUUCCUGACCCACGGAAACUGUGACAUCAUAAAUGUCUGUC
rnacentral:lncRNA from 1 species